rnacentral:rRNA from 1 species
AUUGAACGCUGGCGGCAUGCCUUACACAUGCAAGUCGAACGGCAGCACGGGGGCAACCCUGGUGGCGAGUGGCGAACGGGUGAGUAACACAUCGGAACGUGUCCUGUUGUGGGGGAUAACCAGUCGAAAGACUGGCUAAUACCGCAUGAGCUGGAGACAGGAAAGCGGGGGACCUGAAAGGGCCUCGUGCGAUUGGAGCGGCCGAUGUCCGAUUAGCUAGUUGGUGGGGAAAGGCCCACCAAGGCGACGAUCGGUAGCUGGUCUGAGAGGAUGAUCAGCCACACUGGGACUGAGACACGGCCCAGACUCCUACGGGAGGCAGCAGUGGGGAAUUUUGGACAAUGGGGGCAACCCUGAUCCAGCCAUACCGCGUGAGUGAAGAAGGCCUGGUGUAAG